rnacentral:rRNA from 1 species
AGCUUGCUGCUCUGCUGACGAGUGGCGGACGGGUGAGUAAUGUCUGGGAAACUGCCUGAUGGAGGGGGAUAACUACUGGAAACGGUAGCUAAUACCGCAUAACGUCUACGGACCAAAGUGGGGGACCUUCGGGCCUCAUGCCAUCAGAUGUGCCCAGAUGGGAUUAGCUAGUAGGUGGGGUAACGGCUCACCUAGGCGACGAUCCCUAGCUGGUCUGAGAGGAUGACCAGCCACACUGGAACUGAGACACGGUCCAGACUCCUACGGGAGGCAGCAGUGGGGAAUAUUGCACAAUGGGCGCAAGCCUGAUGCAGCCAUGCCGCGUGUAUGAAGAAGGCCUUCGGGUUGUAAAGUACUUUCAGCGGGGAGGAAGGUGUUGUGGUUAA